rnacentral:rRNA from 1 species
CCGGCACGGGUGAGUAACACGUAUGCAAUCCACCUGUAACAGGGGAGUAACCCGGAGAAAUCCGGACUAAUACCCCAUAAUAUGGGCGCUCCGCAUGGAGAGCCCAUUAAAGAGAGCAAUUUUGGUUACAGACGAGCAUGCGCUCCAUUAGCCAGUUGGCGGGGUAACGGCCCACCAAAGCGACGAUGGAUAGGGGUUCUGAGAGGAAGGUCCCCCACAUUGGAACUGAGACACGGUCCAA